GAUGAACGCUGGCGGCGUGCCUAAUACAUGCAAGUCGAACGAACUAAAUUUCGGGUUAGUGAGUGGCGAACGGGUGAGUAACACGUAAGUAACAUGUUCAUACGUCGAGGAUAACGGCUGGAAACGGCUGCUAAGACUGGAUAGGAAUAUUGAAGGCAUCUUUAAUAUUUUAAAGGACUACCCUAGGUAGUACGCGAAUGAGGUGACUUGCGGCGCAUUAGCUAGUUGGUGAGAUAGAAGCUCACCAAGGCGAUGAUGCGUAGCCGGACUGAGAGGUUGAACGGCCACAUUGGGAUUGAGACACGGCCCAGACUCCUACGGGAGGCAGCAGUAGGGAAUUUUCCGCAAUGGGGGGAACCCUGACCGAGCAACGCCGCGUGAAUGAAGAAGUACUUCGGUACGUAAAGUUCUUUUAUUGGGGAAGAAUGACUAGUGGAAAAACUAGAGUGACGGUACCCAAUGAAUAAGCCCCGGC
rnacentral:rRNA from 1 species